AACGUAGGAGACAAGCGUUAUCCGAAUUUACUGGGCGUAAAGCGCGUGCAGGUGGUUCGGUAAGUUGCCUGUGAAAUCUCCUGGCUCAACUGGGAGAGGCCGGGCAAGACUGCCGGGCUAGAGGGCGGUAGAGGGAGGUGGAAUUCCCGGUGUAGUGGUGAAAUGCGUAGAUAUCGGGAGGAACACCUGUGGCGAAAGCGGCCUCCUGGACCGUACCUGACGCUCAGACGCGAAAGCUAGGGGAGUGAACGGG
rnacentral:misc_RNA from 1 species